AACGCGAAGAACCUUACCUACUCUUGACAUCCAGAGAACUUAGCAGAGAUGCUUUGGUGCCUUCGGGAACUCUGAGACAGGUGCUGCAUGGCUGUCGUCAGCUCGUGUUGUGAAAUGUUGGGUUAAGUCCCGCAACGAGCGCAACCCUUAUCCUUUGUUGCCAGCGGUUCGGCCGGGAACUCAAAGGAGACUGCCAGUGAUAAACUGGAGGAAGGUGGGGAUGACGUCAAGUCAUCAUGGCCCUUACGAGUAGGGCUACACACGUGCUACAAUGGCGUAUACAAAGAGAAGCGACCUCGCGAGAGCAAGCGGACCUCAUAAAGUACGUCGUAGUCCGGAUUGGAGUCUGCAACUCGACUCCAUGAAGUCGGAAUCGCUAGUAAUCGUAGAUCAGAAUGCUACGGUGAAUACGUUCCCGGGUCUUGUACACACCG
rnacentral:rRNA from 2 species